rnacentral:rRNA from 1 species
CUCUUGAGAGCGGCGGACGGGUGAGUAAUGCCUAGGAAUCUGCCUGGUAGUGGGGGAUAACGCUCGGAAACGGACGCUAAUACCGCAUACGUCCUACGGGAGAAAGCAGGGGACCUUCGGGCCUUGCGCUAUCAGAUGAGCCUAGGUCGGAUUAGCUAGUUGGUGGGGUAAUGGCUCACCAAGGCGACGAUCCGUAACUGGUCUGAGAGGAUGAUCAGUCACACUGGAACUGAGACACGGUCCAGACUCCUACGGGAGGCAGCAGUGGGGAAUAUUGGACAAUGGGCGAAAGCCUGAUCCAGCCAUGCCGCGUGUGUGAAGAAGGUCUUCGGAUUGUAAAGCACUUUAAGUUGGGAGGAAGGGCAGUUGCUUAAUACGUGACUGUUUUGACGUUACCGACAGAAUAAGCACCGGCUAACUCUGUGCCAGCAGCCGCGGUAAUACAGAGGGUGCAAGCGUUAAUCGGAAUUACUGGGCGUAAAGCGCGCGUAGGUGGUUUGUUAAGUUGAAUGUGAAAUCCCCGGGCUCAACCUGGGA